UGGCGGACGGGUGAGUAACGCGUGGGUAACCUGCCUUACACAGGGGGAUAACACCUGGAAACAGGUGCUAAUACCGCAUAAGCGCACAGGGCCGCAUGGCCCGGUGUGAAAAACUCCGGUGGUGUAAGAUGGACCCGCGUCUGAUUAGCUUGUUGGCGGGGUAGGGGCCCACCAAGGCGACGAUCAGUAGCCGGCCUGAGAGGGUGGACGGCCACAUUGGGACUGAGACACGGCCCAGACUCCUACGGGAGGCAGCAG
rnacentral:rRNA from 1 species